rnacentral:rRNA from 1 species
UACGUAGGGGGCAAGCUGUUCGUCGAAUUAUUGGGCGUAAAGAGCGCGUAGGCGGUCCGAUAAGUCGGCUGUGAAAGUCAGGGGCUCAACCCUUGAAAGCCGGCCGAUACUGUCGGACUAGAGUCCGGAAGAGGCAAGUGGAAUUCCCGGUGUAGCGGUGAAAUGCGCAGAUAUCGGGAGGAACACCAGCGGCGAAGGCGGCACUCUGGGCUGGAACUGACGCUGAGGAGCGAAAGCGUGGGUAGCAAACAGG